CACGUCGUCUAAGAACUCAGCAUUAAAAUGUUCGUAAAAAAAAAACCAAAAAUAAAAAUGGAGGACUGCAACCAAAAGUACAGUUGCAGAACAGCAAAAGAAACCCUAGAAUGGAUAAACGCAAUCCUCAAUUUCAUUAAACCCUACGCUUUCUUAACCAACGCACAUGUUACCAAUUUCUUCACCCACAAGUUAUGGCAAUCCAUUGAUCCUGUCUGGCUCCAUUGCUUGCGUAACGAACCUGUCCAAAAUCUCCUCCUAAUUCCUUGUGGUAUAAUCCAGGAGCAUUGGCCUGCUUCGCUGAAGGAAUUCGUUUUAGAUUUGAAGUCUCUCGCGUUUCCUCGCGAGCAAGCGCAUAUAAACAAGCUAUUCCCGGGAGUGAAUGUGGUUUCGCUUAAUACUGUACUUGCACAAGGCAUGAAUUUCAAGAAAAAACAUGAAGUGGAAGUUCUUUCUGCGGUUGUUAGUUCUGUUGCGAAUAGUGUGGGAGCUCAAACAAUAGUUGAUGUUGGUGCUGGCCAGGGUUAUCUUGCCCAAGUUCUUACCUUCCAGUACCAGCAUUCUGUAGUUGCUAUCGAUGCCUGUUCUCAUCAUGGAACUGUCACGGAGAAACGUGCAGAACGGAUCAAGAAGCAUUAUGCAGCUCAAAUGCGGAAAAAUUAUCCAGGAAUUGGGAUUCCAAAUGUGCCGAAGACAAUUACAUGCCGUGUCAUGUCCACUGACAUGUUGAAAGCAUUGACUAGCAUGUCACCACAUAUUGAUAAUGUUGAGCGGCCAGGAUUGAUUGGGCAAGUUGCAGAUGAUAAGACUUCAUUGGUAAUUGCUGGGUUACAUGCAUGUGGCGAUCUUUCAGUAACUAUGCUGAAGACCUUUUUAGAGUGCAAAGAUGUUAAAGCAGUUGUUAGCAUUGGAUGCUGUUAUAACAUGCUUUCUGAAGGAUGUCUUGACAUAGCUGGUUCACAAUGUGGUUUUCCUGUGAGUUGUGGUGUUAAAUCUGCUGGAAUAUCACUUGGGAAAAGUUCACGUGAUCUUGCUUGUCAGAGUGCAGAGAGAUGGAGGAGUCUCAAACAAGAUGCAGGUCUUCAUAAUUUUGAGUUGCAUGCCUUCCGUGCUGCUUUUCAGAUGGUUCUUUGUAAAUUUUAUCCUGAAAUCAUAACAUCAAGUCCCUCAAUUGGCCGUCAAGGGAAGGCGUUGCGACGCCAACAGCAAAGGAGGAUCCUGCAGUCUUCAAUUAAUUGCAAAGAAAGUAAACAUUCAUCAGUGCCUGAGACAAUUUCUCAUAUGCAUGAACUCUACCUAAAUCCACACAUGUCAGAAUCUAAAACAGAUGACUUUUCAGGCUCAGCAUUGCAUUCUCAUGAAUUAUCCUGCAAUGGAGGUACCAGAUACAAUGAAACUGCAGCUGCAAGCAAAUAUUUGCUAUUCAAGAAAUUUGCUCAGUCUGGAUUAUCUCGCCUUGGUCUCAAAUCUUUGCAGGAGACACAUUUCCAUGAAAUAUGGAAGGAAGCUGAGCCAUUUGCUGAGCUUAUAGGACCAUACUGGUCUCUGCGAGCUGCUUUAGGACCCCUUUUGGAAACUCUUCUUCUGCUUGAUAGAUUAUUGUUCCUCCAAGAGCAAGGCAGUUCUCUGGAAGCAAUCAUGCUACCUAUCUUUGAUCCUGCAUUAUCCCCAAGGAAUGUGGCCAUAAUUGCCAAAAGAAUUUGAUACAAAUUUCAGCUCAAGCAGAGAAAUGUCCAUUCAUUGUGAAAGAAGGCAUCAUGCUUCGUAGAGUUUAAAACAGUGGUCAGAAACCUUCUCUUUGAAUGUCUGUCUGUUGUCUGCUCCAAAGAUGGUUGCAUCCUAUUUUUGUUGGUCCUAUUUAUUUCUUGUGCGUCCAAGAAUCCCAAUCAUGGGACUAUAUCCAGCUUCUUACAAAUCGAAUAGUACAACAUCAUGAUUAUAUCAUGUUGAAUGGGUGGUGGGGCGCGCGCGCGCCUGUGAUGAUUUGUCGACUAGCUGAAACGCUGAAUGUCACAUCAGAUAUCCUUGCUUAAAGAAGCAUCAAGUGGAGCCUCCCACUCGUGCUGGGACACGUGUGUUCACAUGCUGUGGGUUGAAUGGUUUUUGUCAUUUUAGACACCUGGUUUGUUCUUGUUCAUUUCCAUUAUUGGGUGGUUAGCAGUGACUGCAGUCGACAUGUUGAAUUUCAAAGGUACUAUUUCUGUCACUGAAACAAUCAAACGGUGGGAUACAGCAACUAGCAGUCCUCCUUUUGUUCCUUCUCACUGUUGUCGUCAGCAUCAAAAACUAGUGAAAGGUGCCGUUACUGGUUAAGUGGCUUGAAUCUUGACCUUUGCCGCGGAUAAGCUUCAUUCGAAUUUCGUACUUUAGUGGAUUGCUAGCUAGGAUCGUGCAACCACGUACUGUUUGAAGCUAUAAUAUCUGGUCAAACCCUUGCUACAUUACAAAGAGGGGGUAACUUUUAUGUCAUUUUCCCCACUUUCUGAACCACUCUUCCACUUACCUGCUCUGUAUUUCUACCUUGUCGUGGCAGCGACACUAGGGAGGGGGGGUUGUGGUCCUGGGGCUACUAGAGAUUCAAACAUGAUUCCCCAACGACAAAUCACUGCGAAGAAAGGAAAGCUGGGUUGCUUUGUGGGAGGUGCCAUCAAAAUAAAUAUCAAGGUGAUAGAUAAUAAACCAUGAAGAUGAAUUUUUUCGUUUCCAAAGCCAUUAGAAUCGUCCAAUAUUGCUUUGCCAGUCACUGUAUAAUGUCAGGCCUCUCUGAUUGUUGGGAGAUGCCUGAGAGUUGGAGAGAACACGCAAUCACACGCACAAAGAGGAAAAGCUUUGCCAGGGUUUGAGAAUGUGUUUGCAUACCGGUGAUGAACUGACUUAUUUUCCAUCAUCAUCUACAAAACAAAAAUUUUAAGUUCAUGGAUGAAUUACUUCACAUCAUAGACCAAGUUAAUACGCCCGCUUCACUA